UACGUAGGGAGCAAGCGUUGUCCGGAAUCAUUGGGCGUAAAGCGCGCGUAGGUGGCCUCGUAAGUCCGCUGUGAAAGUCAAAGGCUCAACCUUUGAAAGCCGGUGGAUACUGCAGGGCUAGAGUACGGAAGAGGCGAGUGGAAUUCCUGGUGUAGCGGUGGAAUGCGCAGAUAUCAGGAAGAACACCCGUGGCGAAGGCGGCUCUCUGGAACGCAACUGACGCUGAGACGCGAAAGCGUGGGGAGCAAACAGG
rnacentral:rRNA from 1 species